rnacentral:rRNA from 1 species
AUUGAACGCUGGCGGCAGGCUUAACACAUGCAAGUCGAGCGAGCGGCGGACGUGUGAGUAAUGUCUGGGAACCUGCCUGAUGGAGGGGGAUAACCACGGGAACCGGUAGUUAACACCGCAUAGCAUAAGAGGUGGCCCGAUGGGCCUAGCGAGUAGUUGGGGUAGUGGCUCCCCUGGGAGACGAUCCCUAGCUGGUCUGAGAGGAUGACCAGGCACACUGGAACUGGGACACGGUCCAGACGCCUACGAGAGGCAGCAGUGGGGAAUAUUGCACAAUGGGCGCAAGCCUGAUGCAGCCAUGCCGCGUGUGUGAAGAAGGCCUUCGGGUUGUAAAGCACUUACAGCGAGGAGGCGUUACUCGCAGAAGAAGCACCGGCUAACUCCGUGCCAGCCGCCGCGGUAAUAC